AAAACCUCCGAUUGUUUUCAGAGGGGUGCACCAAACAUGGUCAUAUAACACAGUUUCUAGCACGAUUAAAAGAACAUGUGACAACAUAAAUAUGUAGCGCCUGGCUCCUGCUCGUUUCUGUGUUCCCAUCUAAUUGAUAUAUAGAGUUGGCAAGAAUGGGAGUAGAGCGAAAUAUACGGAAGUGACAAUAACUUGUGCUCCGACGGUCUCUGGUUAGUCGCUUAAUUGGUGACCCUGACGUGAUCCCUCAAAUUAAGAAAUGGAGACGCCAACUGGUUCCAAGAUUGGAACCUCCGCUACACCAUUGAUUUCGGCAGCCACUGUCAAGCUGCCCACGUUUGGGCCAGAGGCCCCGACGGUGUGGUUUGAGCAGACGGAAUCCCAAUUCGCUUAGAAAGGUAUUUCUUUGGAUGAUACGAAGUACCAUCAUGUGGUAGCGGCCCUAGACCAGGCAAUAGCCAAACGAGUUGUGGAUCUUUUUUCAUCGCCUCCAACGAGGAGGUAAGAACACAUUUGCUCGCUUGGUUAGAGGAAGCUUCGCACCGGGAGUUGGCCAUGGCAGCCAACAAAUUGGUGUCUGCGUGGUCCACACCAAGAAACUUCACCCAAAUCCUUCACAAGAGAGUCUGGUCAUCAACUCUGCAGGUUCCGCAAGAAAUGGGGAGUACGAGCCUUCCAGCCUUCCAAUGUGAGGCGCCGUGCAUUUUCGACAAGACCGCUCCACGUUGGCCUGACAAAUCCUUCAAGCCCCAAGUCUAUAACCUGAUGCAGGGAAACGGAGAAUCCGGCCAUCUGUAAAUUCCAUUGGCGGCCGGUUAUUAUUUCUUACUAAUAAAACAAACAAUCAAUCUUA